UACGGAGGAUCCAAGCGUUAUCCGGAAUUACUGGGCGUAAAGAGUUGCGUAGGUGGCAAAGUAAGUUGGUAGUGAAAGCGUCCCGCUCAACGGGAUAUACAUUACCAAAACUGCUUAGCUUGAGUAUGGAAGAGGUAGUUGGAAUUCCCAGUGUAGGAGUGAAAUCCGUAGAUAUUGGGAGGAACACCAAUGGCGUAGGCAGACUACUGGUCCAUUACUGACACUAAGGCACGAAAGCGUGGGGAGCAAA
rnacentral:rRNA from 1 species